rnacentral:rRNA from 1 species
ACGAACGCUUGCGGCGCGCCUAACCCCUGCAAGUCGCACGAGCGAGAGAGAGCUUGCUUUCUCGAGCGAGUGGCGAACGGGUGAGUAACGCGUGAGGUACCUGCCUCAAAGAGGGGGACAACAGUUGGAAACGACUGCUAAUACCGCAUAAGCCCACGGCUCGGCAUCGAGCAGGGGGAAAAGGAGCAAUCCGCUUUGAGAUGGCCUCGCGUCCGAUUAGCUUGUUGGUGGGGUAACGGCCCACCAAGGCGACGAUCGGUAGCCGGACUGAGAGGUUGAACGGCCACAUUGGAACUGAGACACGGCCCAGACUCCUACGGGAAGCAGCAGUGGGGAAUAUUGCACAAUGGGGGAAACCCUGAUGCAGCGACGCCGCGUGGAGGAAGAAGGUCUUCGGAUUGUAAACUCCUGUUGUUGGGGAAGAUAAUGACGGUACCCAACAAGGAAGUGACGGCUAACUACGUG